UAUAUCUGGUAGCUUAACUUAUGGUAUUAUAGAUCUCAAUGAACAUUUUAGUAAAGUUUACAGGACGAAGUUAAUUUCCUGUUCUCAUAAUUACGUUCGGAUACAAUUUUUAUAACAACUAAAUAACUUCACGAGGUAUUUUUCACUUCAUGUUUCAAAGUACUCUGUGAUGUUAAUUCAAAAUGAAGCUUCAACUCAAAUGUCAUUUCUAUCUUUGUGGCUGGUAAAAUGAUUUUAAACGACUUUUUGUAUGCUCAGGAGUUUUUUGGAUGCAAGACAUUGUGAGUAUUAUUAGUGACUGGGUUUGAUGCUACUGCAGACUGUGGGAGCUUCAUCCCAAAGACUGAGAAACUAAAAACAUGGGGAAUCAUGAAUAUAUUCUUACUUAUGCCAGAACGGAAACUAAUGUGGAUUCUGAUUCUGGCUUAAGCCAUGUGCUCUUCCUGUGUGAAAGCUGGGGCAUGGUGUAGCUUUCAAUGAAUGAUCAGGCUCAGCCGUCAGCCUGCUUCCAUUUUGGCAGUAAUGCCAUCUGCCAUAGUGGGGUCGAUACUCUAUCUUUCUAACACUCUUGAUGACUACAUUGUUUUGAUAUGUUAGGCCAGUUAAACUGCAAAAAUCUGGAUUAAAAAUAGCUGCACGAUUUUAAAGUGAUUUUUUAAAACUGGAGGAGCAGAGAAGAAAAAAUUGUUUAUAUAUGGUUAUAGAUCUAUUUCUGUAGAUCUAUUUCUGGUAAACUGAAGCUAUCUGAUACACUAGAAUAGCAAAAAAAGGAAGAUUGAUGUAAGUAUAGACGCAGCCAUUUCUGACUGUGGUCAGAUCUUACUAGCAUGUCUUUGGGUCACUAGGCCAUGCAGUUUUUUCUUUAGUAUUCUUUUCUCUAUACACUCACUUUGAGAGCAGAAUUUCCCUUCUAGCUUCUUUCUUCAACUAAUUGAUGCAUUCCACUUCUAGACAUCAGUCAGGCUGCAAAGCAGCAGCGCAGUAACAUACAGCUAAAUACAGCUCAAAAUGUGAAAUCUGUCAGUCCAUCCCUUGGGCACAAGUCUACGCCUAUUCAUGUUAGAACAACGGUCACAUGUCAUAUUAAAUCAGGUACUCUUUGUGCAUCCCAUGUACUGUGGAUUUGCUGUGUGCUGGCUUUGCUGUUGUGCUUGUGCUGAUAAGGACUCCUUCCUCAGGCUGCAGUGAGAACCAGCAGCCCCUGUUGUGCAUGGUAGCUGUUGCUAUAAGCACUAUGCACUUGGAUGAGAGAGAAAUGGAAUCAGAGGGACAUAGUAGUCCCGUAUCAUUUAAAUAUUCAUUUUCUGCCUCGUUAGAUGGAAUCAAUCUGUAUCUUGCAAACCGUACUUUUCCUUUUGGAUGGACUGACCGGUGAUGGUUCAGAUCACUGAUAGCUCCACCUUCCUGUCUUCCUCCAAAGUUCAAGCCAUGUUUCUGCAGAUGGCAGCAGAUGAUACAGUAACUGUAAGAGUCAGAGACUCUCCUAGGAGAUUGAAAAGGAAAAAAAAUCCAAGCCAAACCUAUUUCUGUCUAACAGUUACUCAGUUAAACAGCAGAACGAUUAAGCCAUUUGCAUGACCACACAGAUGUGGCUGAGUAAGAUUUUGAGCCUUUGUUUCUUUGAUGCAAGAGAAGUACCCUCCAGACUAAAGGAAGGUGGGAUACUUGAAAGUGAAUGAACUUUAUUUCAUUUGUUCUUGUUUUGGAAUCAUACUAUUUCAGUGGGCAUUUUAGACUGAUUGUGACAAAAUAAACACCGGCAGCACCUCCUAAAAAUUAUGGCAGUUUUUCCAUUCACAAUCAUAGAAACAGUUCAUGUUGGAAGGGUCCUCGGGAAGGCACCUACUCCAAACUCCCUUUCAAAGCAGGCACCAGCUUGCUUAACGUUUCCUCUAGUUCAACCAUAUAGAUGCCAUGGCCCCUUUAAGAAACCUGGUCUAGUACCUAAGGGUAAAAAAAAAUUCUUAAUGCCAAUUUGGACUAUACUGUGUGUUAGUCUAUGACCAUUGCCCCUUGUGUCUGGUGUAAAGAUCCCGGCUCUGCCUUGCUCUUGAAGCCUAUAAAAAGAAACUGAGGAUGUGGAGAGAGAGACCUCUCCAGGGAUUUCAUCAUUCAGGAGCUAGGCCUGAAAUAUUCAUCUUGCUUUCACUUGGUUAACGUCCUUCUAAAGUCAAGAGACUCAAACCGUCUUAUAAAAACACAAGUGUGUGAGAUAUAAAGGACAUCUGAAAAGGAAGCAACAGGAGAACAAAGCAGAAAAAGCAAUUUCUAUUUUCUUCACAACUUAUUCCUUGUGCAGUAUCAAGUCAGACAUUUAUUCUCUUCCCUUCUCUCCCUUCUCCUCUCCCCCCCUCCCCUCCUCCUAGUUAGUAAGAUUACCGUGGUAAGCAUACUGUAGUUUAUCAGAUUAUUGGUUUAAUGCUCAAAAAUCUGAGUCGGGAUUGAGGUCUGAAUUCUUUACAAAUAUAUAAGGUGCAACUACUAUUUAUUCUGAUUUAAGAAAACUGCAGAAAGAGGAGGAGCACAGAGUGGGAAGGAGAAGUAAAGGCAAGGCUAUGAUGCAAUUACAUAUACUUGCUAUGUAUAUGAUUGGCAUGAACUUUCCAUUCUCUUUUGAGUUCUAUUUUUUCUUAUUAAAAUAAAAAAAUAAAAUAAAAUAAAAAGACUUUUUAUUUUUCCCAAGGAUUUUUGUUUGGUUGGCUGGUUUUGUGUUAGGAACUUAACUUGGCCAUUCUUGGUCUCAUGCAGUUCUUGAGAAGCAACUCGUAAACUAGACAGACAUCUGAUAGCAUUAUAAAAUAACAGAACUCUUAACUAUUUAUACUGGGGAAAUAUAAAUAUUUCCUUCAGAACAUGUGGAAUUACUGAGCAAGUAAAGACUUUAGAGAAGAGUUGUUUAUUUGUUUCACUUUGCUCAUCUACAUGUUCUAGCAAAGAUGGGAGGAAAUGAAAGGGGAGACAUAAAUAAACUCUUCUGAUUGCAUGCUGGAGAGUUAGUUUAAAUAACAAUAGAACAUUUUCUCAGAUUCUGAAAUGACAGUUUUUUUUUCUGGAGGAACUCUGAGUAUAACAAACUUCUCUUGCACUGUGUUGAUUCAAAACCUACCUAACGGUGUUUUCUCCCGCAUCAAAUAAUGCUCUCAGUUUAGCUGCUUGGCACUCCACCUAUUUUUUCUGCUUCUGUUCCACUGGACUUCCACUGGAGCUAAGGAGACCUUGAAGGACAUCCAUUCAGGAGGCUACACAUUACACACUGACCUAAGUAUCUGGAAUAUUCUGCCACACUCAUGAGGUUUACGAACAGUGAUAGCCACACAGGCAAGUUAAAAUUAAAUCCAUUUGAAUAGCUAUUCUGUGCAAGAGCAAAUCAAUGACGUUGGGGAGGAUUUAAUUUAUAUAGUAUUUGGGAAUCUUUCCAGGAUGCUUUUAAUAUCUUUCCAACAAGAUGCACUUUGAAACAGUUUGUUUUACACUUACAGAACUUCUGUAGCAUUUUAAUAAAGUCCCACUAAUGAGUUUCUGGAUGUCCUAGGAGAACAGUUAGUUAAGAUGGAACCAGAGUAGAAUGUGGAGUUAUGAAGUCGAUGAUUUAACCAAUUCAUUUAUGGCCUAUGUACUGUUCGUUUGUGGCGUUCCGAUGAUGAUUUUUAUGGGAAUUAAGAGAGAUAUUCUGAGCAUUCUAUUGGAAUCAGUUUUGUUUUCAAGAAUGGUUUGAAAACAAAAGCUUUAGCGUACUUCAUUGCAGGGCUUAGGUAGUACUGAGAUAACCCUGGACUGAGCAUAAUCUGUAACCAUCACAAUUCUGGAAACUGGGAUAAAAAUCUAACAUUGCUAUGUAUGGAAGAUACCUUUAACUUAGUGCACAUUUGAAUUGACCACAGGGUCAUGAAUAAGCUAAAAUCAAUUAGCAGUCAUUCUAACAGGAUGCAGUGGGAGAACUGGUUUAGAGCAGAUUUAAGAUUACAUGAGUUAAAGGUGCUCAAGUUGAAACAGAAGCUGAUGGCAGGGUGAGUUGUCAUUUUAUCUGUGUUGGAAAGAAAAAGCCUUGAAAAAAAUCCAGAACACCACAAAGAUUGCAUUAUAACCAGAUUCACUUACUAAACAAAUGUAGACCGUUGAUCUUUCUUGACCCACUGUACAAAAUGAAAUGCUUGACAAUGUACGUAAGGCCAAUAGUUGCACAGUAGUUGCCUAUACUAAUGUAUUAAUUUAAUCAUUUUCCUUGCAGCUUGACACAUACGACCAUGAAUUUUCAGAUCAUUUUUAAAAUUAUUAUUAUACAUCCUCUUAAAUCUGUCAGAAUUCCAAAGUCUCAUCUUCUGUGAGUUUGUCAGUAACUUUCUGUGUUUAAUAAAGCAGAUACAGAAGUUCCAAAAAUCAGCUUCAAAUGACAAAAAGAAGGAAUUUGGUGUUAUAGCCUGCACCUGCACCCCUCUUUUGUGGAGGUUCAGGUUGGAUGUUAGGAAGAAUUUCUUCUCAGAAAGAGUGGUGCUGCAUUGGCACAGGCUGCCCAGGGAGGUGGUGGAGUCACUGUCCCUGGAGGUAUUCAAGAACCGUGUGGAUGUGGAACUUAGGGACAAGUUUUAGCAGGUGUGGUGGUGAUGGUUUGGAUCACCACCUUAAUGAUUCUGUGAUUCUUUGAUUCUCUUCACAAUCGGUUUAUAGGUUUUAUACCUGGAAUCGUUUUUACUGACUAAGUGUAAUUUCUUUCUUGUCUUCUUAUUUUGACUUUGUGUAGUUUUCACUGUUUAAUAAUUAGAUCCACGGUGGUGUCAAAAUACCAGCAUCCUGCAAUCUUUCUAGUCACUGUAAAGUAUUCCUCAACAGCUUGCAUAAAUUUACUCUCUGAAAAAUCCAGUGCUCUGUAAAAAAGUCCUCCUUUGUACUUGCCAUAGAUCUCAGUUUAUGUAUGGUAGUUGGUUACAGGUAUUUUUUGGUGGUGCUGUGUGGAGCCAGGAGUUGGACUCAGUGAUCCCUAUGGGUCCCUUCCAACUUGGGAUAGUCUUUGAUUCUAUCAUUCUACAUAUUCCUGAGUAUUUUGUAGAGAAACAUUCAAGGAUUAGAAUGGUAAUAUCUUUUUCUUUUUUGUUGUGUAAGCAAUGUCAAUUAUUGAAGAUAUAAUUGCCAACAGCUUGAAUGUUUUUUUGCGUGAAAGUGUGAAGUGAUUGGAUUAAAAAUUCAUUUUUCAUUCUGGAUACUCUUGUAGAUGUUAUUGGGUCAUUUGUUUUGUUUAACUGAUGAUUUUAGGAUGACAUUAAAAAAAAUAUAUUUGUAGUAGUUAUAAUGAAUUGCUGAUGAUAAGCCUCUUUUUAGCUGUACAUUUCCCAGUAUAGGGAAGACCCAGUGAUUUAUGUUUCAAAAUAGAAUCAGUGCAGCUGUUCUUGUUAUGUUCAAGACUUUCCCUUCAGCUUUUGUGGCACUGUUACUAACUGACCUUUUCCAUUUUGGAGGAACAGAGACUACUUCUGUCUUAGACCUUACUUAGUGCGCUAAUUAGUGCUAUGGCCAGAUGUCCAUGAUGACCACAGCCUAAUGAAUCUUACCUACAGGGUCAUGAAAACUGUCGCAAGUUCUCCUCAAGCCUGAGAAGCAUAAUUGCAUUUA
ensembl:lncRNA